GGGCCCGCACAAGCAGUGGAGUAUGUGGUUUAAUUCGAAGCAACGCGAAGAACCUUACCAGGUCUUGACAUCCAUCGAAUUUUCAAGAGAUUGAGAAGUGCCCUUCGGGGAACGAUGAGACAGGUGGUGCAUGGUUGUCGUCAGCUCGUGUCGUGAGAUGUUGGGUUAAGUCCCGCAACGAGCGCAACCCUUAUUUAUAGUUGCUACGGAAGAGCACUCUAUAGAGACUGCCGUUGACAAAACGGAGGAAGGUGGGGAUGACGUCAAAUCAUCAUGCCCCUUAUGACCUGGGCAACACACGUACUACAAUGGCCGAAACAAAGGGAAGCAAGAGAGCGAUCUGGAGCGAAUCCCAAAAAGCGGUCUCAGUUCGGAUUGUAGGCUGCAACUCGCCUACAUGAAGAUGGAAUUGCUAGUAAUCGCGGAUCAGCAUGCCGCGGUGAAUACGUUCCCGGGCCUU
rnacentral:rRNA from 1 species